UCAGCCUCCCAAAGUGCUGGGAUUACAGGGAUGAACCACUGUGUCCUGCUGCAUAUGGAAGUCUUUGCAACCCCUUGGAUGCACUGGACUCUCUUCCAGCUUGGAAUGCUGUACCUGGAGGGUGGGAACAACAUCCCCUUGCUGCAUCCUGCUAGCUCCUGUUCACACCUCAAAUCUCAACACAGGAUUGCUUCCUCCAGGAAAGCCUCCUUCAAGGCUGAGUUGGGCAUCCCUCCUGCUUGCUGCCAUAGUUCACUGUGCUUACCUCAUCACAGUUAUUCAUUCACAAGUAUUUAUUGAGUGUUUCCAUAUAGCAGCCACUGGGCUAGGUCCUAGGAAUACAGUAGGAAGAAACAGUAAUAAAUAAGAAAAACAAACAAAUACCUGAGAAAAUCCUAUUUGUGAUAAUUUCUGGGAAAGAAAAGGAUAUAGACAUGGAAAAUAGGGGGCAAGGUAAAGACCACCUUAUCCUAUUUUAUUCUUAUGUUCUGUUCAUUACUUUCUCCACUAGAUAGCAGGUACCCCAAGAGCAGAGAUUUGUGUUACUCUUCGACUCUUCGCUUUACUUCUAAUGCCCAAGUAGGACACAGUAUAAUGAUGGCAUUUGAUAAGAGUUUGUGGUAUGAGCCAUAACCAUUUUCUCUUCCUUACAUUUCCGGGCCUUAACAUUGUUGGAAACUGGAAAUUUCAAAUCUCUUUCCAGGAAGGGUCAACUGGACAGAGAACACAGGACAUUGAACGAAGACACUCUGAAUUAAAAGGACAGAGAAGACAGACCCUGGCUCAUUUGGAAAUCAACCUCCUUCCCUAGUCUGCCAAGUAUCUAAUAUCUAUCAUUAUUGGUAUUUUAAAUGUAAGGACAUUUUAAAUAUGACCUCAAAUUCUUUGACAAUGCUUCCUCUUGAAUGUGGGCUGGUCCUAAUGACUAGCUUCCAAUGAGUAGAAAUUGCAGAAAUGAUGUGUUAAUUUUGAGGCUACAUCAUAAAAGACAGAGAUAAUGCAGCUUUCAUCUCAGUCCCUCUUCCAUCUUGCUCUGUGGGAAGCUGGCUUCCAUUUUGUAAGGACAUUCCAAUAGCCUAAGAAGUGAUGCCCAUGGUUAGGAACCGAGACCUCCCGCCAAAUGACAAAUAAGUGACCAUCUCAGGAACAGCUCCCUUAGCCCCACCAAGCCUUCAGAGGACUGCAGCUCCGGCCAAAACCUUAGCUGCAACCGCAUGAGAGAGCCUGAGUCAGCCUCUCAACUGAAGUGUUCCCAGACUCCGGACCCACAGAAAUCCACAGAUAAUAAAAGUUUGGUUUCAACCAC